GCCAGAGAGGGUCGCAUGAGCCUAUAGUCCCAGCUACUUGGGAGGCUGAGGUGAGAGGACUGCUUGAGCCUAGGAGUUCUGGGCUGUAGUGCACUAUAACCAUUGGGAGUCCACACUGAAUUCAGCAUCAAUAUGGUGACCUCCCAGGAGCGGUGGACUACCAGGUUGCCUAAGCAGGAAUAAACAAGCCCAGGUCAGCCAAACUCCUGUGCCGAUCAAUAGUGGGAUACCUGCUUGUGAAAAGCUACUGCACUCCAGCCUAGGCAACAUAGCAAGGCCCUGUCUCUU
ensembl:misc_RNA Metazoa_SRP Metazoan signal recognition particle RNA